UUUGUUGAAUUGGGAUGUUGAUUUGUUUUGGAAAUGAAGUAAUGGUUGUUGUGGUGUUUUAUAGGCAUGUGUUGGUUGGGUGGUUUGGCGGUGUGAUGUUUGUGUGCUUUGGUGGUGUGAUGCUUGGGUGUACAUUGGUUGGGUACUAUGGUAGGAUGUGGUGGUAUCAUAUGCAUCAUUGGUGUUAUGGUAAGAUGUGGUGGCGGUAUCUGUUUGUUGGUGGUAUAGGUCAUGUUCUUGGUUU
rnacentral:lncRNA from 1 species